AAAAGUUUGUCCUUCUUUUGUCCAGAGCAGAAGAAUGCUGAAUGUACAGAUCUGAGCUGCAGCUUCCUUGGAUUUCCAAGCCAAACCUGCAGUGAUAUCCCAGCUGGGAAAGGAAAAUAGAAAAUCUCCACCUGAACAGUGUAUUGUGAGGGAUGGCUCCAAAUGAAGAAAAGCAAGAGCAACUAGGAGGCUCAAAUCUGUAAAUUAAAAAGGGGAACAUGGAAAUACCACUGGGAAAGCAGAGAUGUCCUUGGCUCUGAGUUUCGCAUUUUGCUAUGCAUUUUAGGCUCUGCUAUAAGGAACUGUCCACAGUAAAUGUACAGCACUGCAGC
rnacentral:lncRNA from 1 species